rnacentral:lncRNA from 1 species
AUGCCUUCUAGGGGAACAGUGUCGCUGGGCUGGGCGGUGGAGAGACACCUUUGGCACCAUCGUGCGAUCUCAUGCACCCUACCAGUGAUCAACCCUUUGAGUCUGGCUUAGCUCAGGCAGAAAUUGUAGUCUGCAAAAGAAACUGAGAAGAAGAGGGCAAGGAGAGUGUGGCAUCCCAAGACAUAAAGACUCAAAUCAAUGAGAGCAAGCAACUCUGUCAAAUUUCACCAGAAGUGAGGACUAAAUAUUGACUACCGAAUUUUGCAAGAAAGAUGAAGCAUUGGAAAGCACUGCAUAGCUCCAUGUUAUCAAUCAAUUAAUGUCUUCAGUCCUUUAAUGUCCUCUGGACAGCUGGGAUGCUUGGGAGAAGACUGUUGACAAGUCUUGUACGUGUGGAAGACACCAUUUUACUUACUUUCCCUUUAUUAUGGAAGGAACACAAGCCUAUCUUACAAAAAGAUACAUAGGACCCCGGAAGAACGAUUUUUAUUCUGAAUCUCAAUAAAAUAUUCUGUCACUUUG